rnacentral:rRNA from 1 species
CCUACGGGCCGCAGCAGUAGAGAAUCUUCGGCAAUGGACGAAAGUCUGACCGAGCAACGCCGCGUGAGUGAAGAAGGUUUUCGGAUCGUAAAACUCCGUUGUUAGAGAAGAACAAGGACGUUAGUAACUGAACGUCCCCUGACGGUAUCUAACCAGAAAGCCACGGCUAACUACGUGCCAGCAGCCGCGGUAAUACGUAGGUGGCAAGCGUUGUCCGGAAUUAUUGGGCGUAAAGGGCUCGCAGGCGGUUUCUUAAGUCUGAUGUGAAAGCCCCCGGCUCAACCGGGGAGGGUCAUUGGAAACUGGGGAACUUGAGUGCAGAAGAGGAGAGUGGAAUUCCACGUGUAGCGGUGAAAUGCGUAGAGAUGUGGAGGAACACCAGUGGCGAAGGCGACUCUCUGGUCUGUAACUGACGCUGAGGAGCGAAAGCGUGGGGAGCGAACAGGAUUAGAUACCCUCGUAGUC